UGAGGUUUACCGACGAUAAAAAUUACAGGCCUCUCAUCUUUUAGUGGGAGAAUUUGCACAAUUGGUGGCUGACUAAAUACCUUUUUGCCCCACUGUAUAAAAGAUGAGAUGAUGGUUGAUUCCCCACUUAUGUUUGCAGCUGUUCUGCAUUUCUCUCAAAAACUCUGGCUGAACUUGAACUCACAGGUCGUCCUGUCCCCUCCUCCUCGGGGGGGAACUUUCCUCCAAAAAUGAAGAACUGAUGUUUGAGCAGUGAAAAAUAGAACUUUAAUGUCAUCUCGAUCAAAAAGUGAGACUCACAGAUCUUGUGUUUAGAGGAAGUCUACUGACGCUGAUUCAUGGUUUCAUCUCAAGUGUUUAAGCAGAACUAAAAGGAUAGAUCUGAUCUGGUCUUCAUACCUGAUUCCCUGUUAAAUUAGGAAUAUAUUUAAAGGUGAUACUGAUCCCAUGAUGUUUUGUGAGACCCAAACUGUUGACUUGUGAUCACCAGCAGAGCUAUGACAUCAACAGGAAGUAACAGUUAUGCAAGGGCAGAUGUUUGCCAGCAGUUUUUUUGGUCAGAACUUAGUUUAAAAUGGUUCCUACAACAUAUUUUUCUGGUAGUUUUUGCAUCUCUGGAAAGCUGCAAGGACUUUGUAUUGUCUCUAUUUCAAAAAGGUGCUGUAUAAAUAAAAGCUCCACUUGCUGGCAGAUCUGGAGACUCUUGGUACCUGAAUUUCUGAGUUGGAACAAGACAAGAACUGCUCUAUUACUUGAUUUUGUGACUAUUAUGUGAUUCAUGCCACAAUAACCCCAUCUACAAGAAACUAAAUCCAAAAUGUUGGUCUCACAGGGAGCCAGGAAUAGUCGGUAAAUCAGGAAAACAAGUCAGACUGGUUCAGAAAAGCUGAAACAGGUGAGCUAGCACCAAUCCUGGGUUAGAAAACGGGUUCCAACAGGUAAAAGGGAGAACCUGAAGACCUGCAACAGGUGAAACAGAUCUGACUGAUGGGAGAUGGGGCAAAAACGUGUUGUUCCCUCUGGUCUUGACAUGAGUUUAAUUUGCAUAAACCAACAAUAUUCCUCAACUUGCGAUCAAAGUGUCCUUGUGCAAGACACUUAACCCCACAUUGCUCCUGGUGGUUAUGGCUUGGCGCCAGCGUUCAGCGGCAGUGUCUGCAUAAAUGUGUGAAUGUGUGUGUGUGUGUGUUAGGACUGUGACUGUAAAGCACUUUAGGUCUUCCAGUAUAUAAGUAUACGCAAUUUAUUAUUAUAAAUAAAUGAGCAGAAUAAUUGUCCUAAGGUUGAAAUGUUAAAAAUGUUUAAACUUAGCUUAUCAUUGGUUGCAACGUUGACAUAUUUCAGUGUUUUCUCGCCUGUCCUUCACUUCCUUUUGUCAUUUCAGCUUUGAAAAACAUUAAUCUGUUCAGCCUUUUUCUUCAACUUUUCAUUUUCCUGUAAUUUUUUUCUAAAUCUGACCAUAAGUUUAGCUUUUGGCACUGCUCAGCAUUGUAAGUGAUUAUAUUUAGCUCUAAAAAGAGGUUAAUCUCAUGUGAUAUUCUAUAUUUAGGCUUUUUUUUUGGUCAGUCCUGUAGCAUCUUUUUAGUCAGAUCUUUAAUUAAAUUAAUUAGCAUUUGUUUCAGCUGUGUUAAUUUAGCAACUUUGAGAUUAUAUUGAUCUCACUGAUAAAACAAUUUUUCAAUAUUUUUAUCCCUUUUGCACUCCUAAAGCUUGCAUAUAACCUCUCAAUCUCUAAUCUGUUCUUAUUUAAAUCUGCCAUUUUUUUUUCCUGUAAAUAAAAAAAUUAAUUAAAGCGUAUUUGUUGUUUCACCUAACAAAAUAAGGAAUGUUGUGUGGCCUGUUUCAAAGUCCUGAAAAAGUUUUCAUUUCAUGGCAAAGCCUGACCUUGGAGAUAAAGGUGUUUCGUUAAAUGUUUUAGAAAAGAAACAAAUUGUAAAAAAAACGGCGGAUGGACAAUUGUGUGAGGCUUCAGACAUUUUGGCCAGAUUUUAUGGUUUAAUUACGACUCUGGUUGAAUAUUGGGUUAUGUAGAACUGAUUCUUUUAAACCAAUUCUUGUUUAGUAACAUUUUAACCAUCAAGUCUGAGUCUUUCCUGCAGUGUGUGGUUGGUUCUGGUUACCUAAAGAAUUCAUUAUGUCAGCUGUGGAAAAUAUGAGGGAGCAGCCCCGGAUUCGUUUGAGCUGACAGUUUACUCUGCACACAAACCCACAAAAACAAGAAUGAUCAGCCUCCAGGUGCUCUACAACUCUCUGCUGCGUCAUUUAAAGGUUGGAAGGCAAAGACCCCGCAUUUCACACAAUCUUGAUGCAACAGAGUCAACUUACUUUUAAAUCCAAAUUUCCACUAAUUGUUUUAAUUUUUUUGCUUUUCGACAGGAAAAUCCCAUUGAUUGAAAUGUUAAUUUUACAGCUUCUGGACAACAGAACAACAACUGAUUGUUAAGAAACAACAAGUGAUUUAAAUACUAGUCUUUAAGAUAAAAUAAAAACCCUGGAAGUUUAGAAGAAUUGUAUCAUCCAUUCAUUGAUUUAUUGAUCUCCUUAACCCUUUUAAUACCUUUUGGGGUCAUGGAGUUGCUGGAGCCUAUCCCAGCCACUAUCGGGCGAAUGUGGGGUUUGCCUUUGGUGGUUUGGCAAGUUUGCAUUGGUGCUAAUUAGACUAAUAAACAAAAAAUAUAUAAAUGUACAAUGUAAACAUCCUUCCUGCUGAUGAAAAUCUCAAUAGACUGUACUAAACAUUAACCCCCCUCCCCAAAAUUAACUUUGAAAAAAAAACAUCAAGCAAAAUUAUAAUUUUUUGCCUGAUUAUUCUGGAAUGUAUUUAGGCAGCUGAUGAUAAAAUGGUGCAUUAUUUUAGUUCAUUCUUUUGUUCUCAACCUUUUGAAAGACAAGAUGUACUUUUUCUUGAUAAAAAUCAAAAGGCACACAACCAACCAAAAAUUUAAGAACCCCCCCCCCCCCCCAAAAAAAAAAAAAAAACAAUUCUGUGGUCUUGAAUAAGGAUCAAAUAAACACAGAAAAAAAGUAUUUUAUUCUUUUAUGAUUUUUCAUAUUUCUACUAACUGUGUUGCACAGAGCUGAUAUCACUAGCAAUAGUAAUUACCUUUUACACCAAUGAAGUGAAAUUGAAUCAUUUUACACAUCACACCUGUAUGGUGGCCCUGAAGUUCAAAUCACACCAACAAAUCCCUCAACGCAAAAACAUUUUAAAGAGAACAACAACAAUUAAAAGAGCAAAACACAUAACAAAAAACACAGCAAUACAUUUUAUAAAUCACAACAAAAAUCCAGAAAAAAAGGUACACAAAUAAAGAUAUUGCAUUUAAAUAACUUGGUAAAAACUUGAUUAAAAAAAACGAUCAACAUCUCCCAACAUGUUUAUGUGAUUGUCGUGUUUUCAUUGAAACACUUCGCUGCUUUGAGGAACAAAAACAGCAGCAGGAGGGUUUGAUCCGUCAGUGGACGAUGGAGUCUCUGCACAUGUGGGUGAUCCUUCUCGCUCUCAGUGGUUUUCAGCAGCAUGUUCUCACCAUGCCGACAUCCACUCUUUGGGUCAGACCAGGUGAAAAUGCCACCCUGUAUUGCCCCCUGCUGGACACUUUGCACCGCAACAAGUCCUCACCCACUGCCUCCACCAUCAGCUGGUACAGGACGGCUGCAGGUCAGGGACCACAAAUGCUGUUGACAGUGAUGCCCUCUAACACCCCCAACGUGACGUACGGAGCCGGAGUUUGUCCAGGGAAGGUGUCCGUGGGGGUCAAUGGGUCACUGUUGCUGCGCGGCUUCCAGCAAAACGAUUCUGCUGUUUACUUCUGCGGGAUGAGCCAGGGGAGCAAGCCGGAGAAGAAAGCCGACGCUCCGAGCCACAGAGGGCAUUAGAGCUCCUGCUCUUCAGUUUCCUCUGCCUCUGUUCAUGUAUGACCUCAUUUCAGAAAUGAAGUAAAGUUUACUCAGAAAUUGGA